AGAUGGGGCCUUACUAUGUUUACACGGCUGGAUUCCACCUUCUGGACUCAAGCUAUCCUCCUGCCUCAGCCCCCUGAGUAGCUGGGACUAUAGGCAUACCUGAUCAUGCCCAACUUUCCUUUUUUGAAUGGGUGAAAAUUGGCCAAUUUUCAAGAUUCAGCUCCUCAAUGAAACCUAUCCUUUUUCAACCACCCAAACUGAUACUGUUUUCUUAUUUAUCUUAAUGCCAUAUUUAUAGUUGGCAUUUGUUAUCAUUCUAUCUUAUAGACAUACUAAGUGAAUGAAUAAAUGAGUGAAUGAUAAAAUGAAUGGAGGUAUUUCACAUUUAAAAAACUGAAUUAGAUCCAUUCUAUUUUAACUCUGAUCGUGACUGUUGAAAGUUAUAAAGCCAAGUCAGCUUUCAAGGUCAAAAGAAAUCAAGGCUACAUAUACUGGCCAAUCAGAAGAAGAGAGAGCAGGCUAACAAAAUUCUGAAGAUAGCACUGACUCAGCACCAUCAUCCUUGUGGCAUGAGAAUUCACAUACCCAUGGAUUUAGACUGGGAUGCUUGAUUUAAUUCCCCUUUAUAAGGGAUUAAAUUAACCUUGACUAGUUUAGAUCAAUGAAUCUCAGCAAAAGCAGAAUAACCCUUUCAGAAAUUUGAAGAAGCUUUUCUUUUUUUAAAAAAACUGUUUUGAUGAUUUGAUAGAAUUACAGGCAUUAGUAAGCAAGGGUAGGGGAAGGUGAAAGAUGCUAAAAGUCAUACACAAAAUAAUCCUUCAUAAGGAAGAAUUUUUGAGAGUUCUGCAAGACAUUCUAAUAUCCUCCUAGACAUUUGUACAGAAAAUUAUGUAUAAUAAAAAUUGCUACCCACCCAUUAUCACUUAUCUUAACAAUAGUUUUGCUUUAAGUUACAAGUUUGCUUGUAUGGAAUGGCUUCUCAUCUUCUAACUUCUCUUAAAUUUGAAUUUAUUCAUUUUAAAAUAGCAUAACAAUUUAGUUACUUGAGUACGUCUCUAGGUUAGUUGAGACUGAACAUUUACGUAUUGAACCCUAUAUUGUAGUAUUAAAAAUCACAUUAUUUUAUCCUUUGCAUUACAGUUAAAGCAUUAUAUCAAUUUUUUCUGAAUAAAUGAGUAGGCAAUUCUCAUUUUAAGAUAAAGAAGGUGUGAGAAAAUAUUUGUAUUGAAAGGUUAGCACUGAGACUGUUUGAACCGAGACCUACUGUCUUGCAUCAGUUAAUGCCAACAACUGGGUACAUGGCUGACAUAAAACAGAGGCAGCAUAAUAAAAGGCGAAUGACCAAUUUUUCUAUGUGUAUUCUUAGUACUUGUGAUUAAUCAUUUUAAUAAAGAAUUAUAUAAAUAAUUUCUUGUAAAAGAUAAGGUAUUCAAACUACCUUAGUACUUGUGAUUAAUCAUUUUAAUAAAGAAGAAUUAUAGAAAUAAUUUCUUGUAAAAGAUAAGGUAUUCAAACACAGAUGAUCUUAUUGUUGAUUAUUAGUAUGGAGCCCUUGAUAUAGUCUAAAAAUUUAUUUUGUAUAAUAAUAUUUUGGAGCUAUGUACAAUAUUUGAGAAUUAAAGAAUAUAUGUUAUUUUCUUUCUUUCCUUCCUUCCUUCCUUCCUUCCUUUCUUUCUUUUUUGAGAUGGAGUUUUGCUCUGUCACCCAGGCUGGAAUGCAGUUUCACGAUCUCAGCUCACUGCAACCUCCACCUCCCUGGUUCAAGCAAUUCUCUGCCUCAGCCUCCCGAGUAGCUGGGAUUACAGGCGCCCAACACCAGGCUGGCUAAUUUUUUGUAUUUUUAGUAGAGGCAGGAUUUCACCAUCUUGGCCAGGCUGAUCUUGAACUCCUGACCUCAUGAUCCAUCCACCUCAGCCUCCCAAAGUGCUGGGAUUACAGGCAUGAGCCACCACGCCUGGCCUAUGUUUUUGCUUUCUAAACUCUGGUCCAAUGCAAUGAACUUCUAUUUAUUCCUCAGGAUAUGUUGCAACAUAUUAGAGUUAUAUGCAAGCUUUUAUCCUUCUGGGGAGUCGAAUGCUUUUCCAAAGAAUAUUUUAUGCUAAUAAAAUGCGUGUUAUAUCUGCCU
rnacentral:lncRNA from 10 species